CGCGCGACGGAGUCCACACCACGCGCCACGCCACGCCACCGCCCGCGCGCUAGCUCUUCGUCAGGUCCGUCCGUCCGUCGUCCACGCCCACGACCCCGCGCCACAUGCCGGCCGUCAGCCGGUUCAACGCCCCCGCCGGCCCGGCGCCCAGCAUAUAGCCCCGCACACGCCAUCCCACCACUCGCGACCGCCGACCCCCGACUGGUCCAGAUCAUCCAUCUUCCCCAGCCUCCACAAUUCGAGCUCGGACCAGCUGGUUUAACCGCCAUGGGGUGCGGCUUCUCGACGGGGGCGGCGGGCGGCGGGGGCGGGCUGCGGCCGUUCGCGGGGGUGCGGGUGAUCCACACCAACGGCUACGUGGAGGACUUCCCCGCGGGCGAGGACGGGGCGCCAGUCACCGUCGCGCGCGCCACGGCCUCCUCGCCCUCCUCGUGCCGGUACGUGCUGUGCUCGUCGGCGCACCUGCUGCAGCCGGGCCGCGCGCUGUUCCGGCCGGACGACGCGCUGCAGCCGGGCACCGUCUACUUCCUGCUCCCGCACUCCAUCUUCCAGGCCGAGUCCUCCGCGGUCGACCUCGCCUGCCUCAUGAACGCCUCACCGCGCUCGCGCGCAAGGGCGGCGGCCCCGCGCCCAGCGCUGUCGACGCGCUCUUCUCCGGCGACUCCGCCCAGCGCCGCGGCAGAAGCCCCGAGGCCGAGGGGCAGACCGCCAAGCCGCCCCGCCCCGCCGCCAAGAGCUGCGCCGCCGCCGCCGCCUACGCGGGGCCGUGGCGGCCGCGGCUCGACCGGAUCGACGAGUCCAUGGGCCGCUCCUCCAUGCGGAGCGCCUCCACCCUCAGCAACCGCAGCAGCCAGGACUAGCUAGGAUCUUCCUCUGCUCGGCGCCGUUUCGUUUUUGUUGCUUGCUUGCAGUGAUUUGCAGUAGUUUUGUACCGCCAUCAAUGAACUAGAUUUUCUCCUUCUGUUAGUCGUCCGUUUUCCCUGCUUGUUCAUAAUCAAUCUGUACAUUUGGCAGUGAUUUGUACUAGUAUCAGAAACCAGAUUUCCUACUGUUCUCUUGUCCAUUCUCCUGCUUGUUCAUCAUUAAUCUCUAUGUA
rnacentral:rRNA from 1 species